AGUGAACGCUGGCGGUAGGCCUAACACAUGCAAGUCGAACGGCAGCACAGUAAGAGCUUGCUCUUACGGGUGGCGAGUGGCGGACGGGUGAGGAAUACAUCGGAAUCUACUUUUUCGUGGGGGAUAACGUAGGGAAACUUACGCUAAUACCGCAUACGACCUACGGGUGAAAGCAGGGGAUCUUCGGACCUUGCGCGAUUGAAUGAGCCGAUGUCGGAUUAGCUAGUUGGCGGGGUAAAGGCCCACCAAGGCGACGAUCCGUAGCUGGUCUGAGAGGAUGGUCAGCCACACUGGAACUGAGACACGGUCCAGACUCCUACGGGAGGCAGCAGUGGGGAAUAUUGGACAAUGGGCGCAAGCCUGAUCCAGCCAUACCGCGUGGGCGAAGAAGGCCUUCGGGUUGUAAAGCCCUUUUGUUGGGAAAGAAAAGCAGCAGGUUAAUACCCCGCUGUUCUGACGGUACCCAAAGAAUAAGCACCGGCUAACUUCGUG
rnacentral:rRNA from 1 species